GUGGAGAGAGAGUGGGUUGGAAAAUAAAAGAAGUUAGUAAGUAGGUGCUUUGCAAAGAAUGGUUGAGCUGAUCUUCCUUCCCUAGUCAGGACUGAGACUCCCUUCCCACAAAGAGUCUAACUGAGGAGUAAACAACUGGGAAUAAAUCCUCCAGGAACUGAUGGAGAAUCUUUCAGAAGCCACACAUUUUACCACCAGGGAAGAAAACUGAGUUAGAAGGCAGGGGAAUGCAGACAACUAUACAGACUGUUAGAGGAGCAAAACAAUGAGAAGAAACUUCUGUCUUAUGGACAAUGCUUUCUGGAAAUGCAGAAAUAAAGACUGACAUUCUCCUUGGCUUAUGACUUGUCUCUCUCAAUCUCAGGGUCUCUCUGAGAGAUGUUGCCUCCUGAAGAGCCUGCACUUAAUUGAAACUUCUGAAAGUCCAGUGAAGUGAUAUGAAAGCUUUUCAAGAAUUCCACAUUUCUUAGGAAGGGUGGAGGGACAAAGCUAAUGCAGGCAAAGAGGAACAACAAGGCCCCAAAGGCCCCUGGAAAUUGUAUGCCACAAUAGAGGAAUGGGUCCUAUAAAGCUCCUGCUGUUGUAGUUGGGAGAAGAGAGUAGAGUAAACGUAGGAGGAAGACAAGAAGCCUACACAAUUUAGAGCUGGAAGUGGAGUUGGUCUGUCCUGUCUGAAAGAUUUGAAAGUUUGGGAAGGAAGAAGUCAACUCAGGAGCUUCUGCUGAAGAGAACUGCAGCUGCUACAGUCAGUACUAAAUUGCUAAAGAAGUGUUGCUUUCACGAAGCCAUUUUGUCUGUGGAAAUAAUUUGUUACUGGCUAGGACAAGGCAAGUUGGAGGCCUGUGCUGUAUGGUAUACAUAUUUAGUUAUUCUGCUGUUUUACCAUCACUCAGUUUAAGGGUUGUAUCCCUUAAAUUUCAUCCUACCUAAAAAAAAAAAAUCUGUUUGGUAAAUCAUUUGUUCUACUAAUUUGUAACAGAGUGAAAAGAUAUCAGUCCAAGGCUGCUGGUGCAAAACCAGGCCUUCUGCAAUGCUGGCUUAUACCAUCCAACAGUGCAAGCUGAUAUACCUGAUGUACCACCUAUUGAGACAUUAUUCAUAGGUAUAGAAUUCCAGAGUUAGUAAAUGUUUUUAAUUAGUCACGUAGUUGGACCCAAUAGUAUACUAUUGAUAUACGACUGAAGAUUGAAAGGAAACAAUUAUCUUAAUUUUCUUUCUUUUUCAUUUUUCUCCUCUGUUUCUACAAUUCUGUUUCUUAUUAAACCCACACAUUCCCAACUGCACAAAAAUCUAGCUUCCACUGCACAAAUUUGUCCCCACUGCACAAAAUGUGUCCAGCUGCACAUUAGAAUAACCCCUGGUUCUUCUAACCAUAGUUUGAUUUGGGAUCCUACAAACUAGGAUCCCAAAUCAGGAUCAAACAGUGAUUUGUGUUACUGAAUUGUGAACAAACUGUGGUUUGAGCAAACUAUAGUUUGUUGUGUUUGUGUGGGAAUCAGCAAAUUAUGGAUUUCCAUUAAUCAAGAGCAGAAGCUUUUAAUCUCCUCCCUUUAUAUGCUGAGGGGGAAAUGGGAGGAAGGUGCACACGACCUGAGGCUUGCACAUGCUCUAAUAACACCAAACUAUUAUUUGCCAUUACAUCUGAAUUAUGUGUGUUGUUCUUUUAUUUCAAUUACAAACAUUAUAAUAUAAUCAAGGAUAAAAAGGGGAAAAACCUUAACCAUUAACAUAAUCUAUUAAUAAUAUUUAAUAUAUCAAUAAUAAUAGGGGAAGAAAAAAAAUCUUCUUCUAAAAUAUAUUCUUAAAACAAAAACGAUUAGUUAACAUUAAGGUGAAUUACAAAAAACUCCUUUAUCAUUCCGUCAGAACAGAACCAGUUCAAAGGCCAUAAAAAGUCUGUGAGCACAGAAACAUAUGACUGUGUGGCUAUGAAGCUCCUAGGGAAAGGUAGAAAAAGAAUCAUUCUGCUUUCAGGCAUAUAAAGAUUACUUGAGUUGUGCCUGAAAGAAUAAAUUGUCAAAACCAGACACACCAUGUUGUGUCACUUCAUAGAUCAGAUAUGUCACCUCUUAUGCAUAGUUCACAUUUAGUGGCAACUUGUGUAUUGUUAGGCUGCCUGUAAGUAUUGAAGUUGCCACUAAAUGUGAACUUAUCUGUUACGUUUCUGACAAAUGCAUUUGAAGUUUCUCCCUUUGCCCACAAAGCAAAGCACAGGCUAUUCCUCAUAUAAUAUUUUAUAGUUUUUUGUCGCUUCUCAUAGACUCUAAUUUUACAGCAGUUUUAUAGUUUUUAUGUAUUUUAUCCUUAAUUUUAUGUAUUUUAUCCUUAAUUUUUACCUUAAUUUUAUAGGUGGUGACAUAAAAACUAUUAAAUUAAGGCAACAACUAUACAUUAAGGAUAAAAUACAUAAAAACUAUAAAAUUGUUGUAAAACUAGAGCAUGAGAAGCUACAAAAAGCUAUAAAAUUAAGAAAUAACUAUAAACUAUAAUAAAGGUAAAAUAUGGUAUGAUAAAAUGAUGCUCUGUGCUAUCUAAAGAGCUUCUAUUAUUGUGGUUUUUAGUAAGUCCAUGCUUUCUGGAGUGAUUUGACCCUCUUGACUUUCCCUUUCAUCUUCCUUUUUACCUGUUCUCUCAUUUUUUAUUUUUUAUUUUUGAAGUUUCCACUUCUGAAGUCCAAUCCAUCUGUGUUGGACUUUCUUGGCAAUGUUCCACUCACAUAUAAGCUGCAUUGGAUCAUACUAUGUUCACUGUUCCCCUGUGGCUCUACAACUCUGACAUCUCACACCCGGUCCUUGGCACCACUCAGGAUUCUCUGAUUGGUUAUGUGACCAUCUGUUCUAAGGCACAGUCAUUUAGCAUGUCUAAAAAUUUGGCCUCGCUGUCAUUACCAACAUGUGAAUUUGCUCAGUCUAUGUGAUGGUAACUGAAGCCAUUAUUACAGCUUUGUCUCUCUUUGAUGUUUCUCUGCUUUGCUGCUCUAACUCCAGGUCAUUCUUACCAUUUUGAUCAAGGAGACGAUAGCAUGUCCCAAGUAACACAUUUUAUUUCAGUCCUCGUAUUGUCAGCCUUAAUGAUUCUGUGGAGGACUCUGUUCUUCCUAGGUUUUCUAGCUUGUUCGAUUCUAUCCCUUCUUUAAUAUAUAGUGCUACUAUACCCGCAAUCCUCCCUUCCUGUCCUAUCUGUCGCAUUUGUAUCCAGGAACAAAUGCAUCCCACUGGUUCACACUGUUCCCCCAGGUUUCCGUUAUGCCCACUAUAUCUGUGGCUGCCUUCGGACAUAGCAUGAAACAUUGGGUUGACAAAUCCAAGGUUGAUUUCUAAAGCUGGGAAUAGUCCCACAGACUAACCAUGGUCCAGCAAACUCCAGCUUCUGGGCAGAGGAGCACCUCCCUCUUCCUUGUCUGUUGAGGCUGAAUCCCAGCAAGCUAUGUGCCACUCACAUCGGCAGAGUGUGGGCAGGGCCUCAGGAUGUCAGUAAAGUGACUACCAUUGGGCACAAUCUUUGAGGGGGUCUGUAGCCAGGUCACAGAGGCCCAUUAGGCAUGUGCGAUGGCCUCCUAAAUGGCCGCAGUCACCAGAGGAAGGGGCGGAAUGGGUUGAACAGCUCUUUUUAGAGUGGGAGAAGGCUGGCAGGGGGAGGGAGAAAUGGCAGAGACCACCACCACUGCCACUGCUGCUGACCCAGACCUGGUGGUGAGUCUGGUUUAAAAAACAUUUUUUUAAAACUUAGGGGGGCCACAAAACUGAACAUGCCUGGCUCAGUUCAAGUCCAGUCUGGACUCGAACCAAACCGGGCAAACCAGUCUUGUGCACACCCCUACCCAGCGCUGCCUAACAGCCUAUCAAGAUGCUGUGUGAUGUCCGCAAUCUUCGCACCAGGCAGGCAUGUCACCAGGCAGUUUACACAUGGGUCACAAAUUCAAUCAAUCUAUCAAUCUUUAUUACGGUCAUAGACCAGCAUAAAGUAUAAAGGUGAUUACAUGUUAAAAGUGAGUGUAGAUAAAAAGUGAUUACAUUUAAAAUGGUACAUAUUAAUACUAAAAGGACUAAAAAUACUAAAAAUAGUAGAUAAUACACCAAAAGCAUGAGGGCCUAAAAGCCUGAGAAAUAGUAAAAGUCAUAAAAACACAUGAAAGGCAUAAAAAAGCGGUGGGGGGAAUAAAAAAUGUAAUAAAAGACAUGAGAAGACAGAAAUACAUAAUAGCCUGAGUAAUAAAGGCUUUUAGUAAUAAAGGAUUAGUCACAAAUUAAUCUCUCUAUGCCCCUAACUAUCAAAUCACCCACUACUAGUAGACCCCCAACCCCUGGAGGAAUAUCCUCUGUGCGAGAGGAUAUCGAUGUAUCACCCAAGGAUGGGGUCCCUUACAAGGGAGCAUUCCCUUCUUUUUCAGACUGAUGGCCUCCGUCCCUGAGACCUUCAUUCUGUUCCAGCAGAGGAGCUGUCAGCCUGGGAGUGUGAUGCCUCUAUUAUGUCCCUGAGGGUCUCAUCCACAGACCUCUCUGUCUCCCUGAGCUUCUCCAGAUCAGCCACCUUGGCUUGAGGUUCUCUGAGAGCCAGGAGCUCUUUGCACCAAGUGCACACCCACAAUGUCUGCUUCUGAUAGUCAUACAUGCAACACUCUGUGUAAUACACUGGGAAGCACCUCCUCCCCUGCUGGCCUCCGCAUUCAUACAGAUAAAUCUUUGUAUGUCUUUGCUGGGGUAGGGAUGGAUAAAUAAACAAAUGAAUGAUGAAUGAAUGGAAGGAAGGAAGAAUGAAUGAAUGAAUAAAUUAGAGAUAGAAAAGCAGCCUGGAGGCAUUUGUAGAUGCAAAAGGUUUAUACUAGCUUUGGCAGGAUCACAUUUUAAUUUUGUGAGUGUGCAACAGCAACACAUGCUUCACUCCUACACUCUAAAUAUUUAGAAUAUGUAAUAUGUUUCAGGUAUUUUCAUAAAAUGCUGACAUGAUUUAACUUGUACCCAGAGACUCUGUACAAUUACUGAAAAACUCUUUUAUUAGCAGUUAUUGAUCUUGAGGCUGACAGUGACUGCAUAUUGGAUCUUUUGAUCUGUGCUAGGAGUCAGCAACUGGACCAAAUCAGUUCCCUUGAGUUGGGACUGUCAAACCCCGCUCCCCACAAGGCAAAACAGGUGUGUGGGUGAACAGCUUCUAUGACAAGAAGACUUGAUAGUAAACCAUUUUGAGAGUUGGCAUGAGGUACAGGCCUCAAUCCCUCAUCAAAAUGGCCAUCUAGCAAAAUGGUUAGUGACCAGGGGUCUAAAUUAGAAACUGAUUCCCAGUAGGAACACACAAGCCUUGUUCCAUGCAAACUUAAGCAUAUUAAAGACCCACUGCUGUCAAUGGAAAAGUUAAGCAUAUUGUUAAAUGUAUUCUGCUGUAAUCUGUUGAUGGUGCACCAUUACACUGAAAGUCUGGAUGUCAGUCUGGGUUUCCUCAGGGUGACAUCCAGAGAAAAUUAGGGUAACAUCCUUGAGAAAAUCAGUAAUGUUUUCUGAAGCUUCCUUGAAAGACAGUUUCCCCAUCACUAGGGAACUUACUGUACAGUAUGUAAUAGGAGUGUUGUGUGUGCUUUAGUGUACACAUGGUUCAUGCAAAGUGAAGUCCAACAUGUUUGGCCAGUGUCCCAAUAGCCGCAUUUUCCAGAAUGACAAUGAGGCCCAACAGUAUCCCAGUUUAUUCCCAAUCUUCCCCAUUAGCCUUGCUAACGGGGAAUAUUGUUGGCCAGAGCUUAAUUGACAUUAGCAAGGCAACAAAAGGGGAAAAUAUCUAUCUAUCUAUCUAAUUACACUUCUAUACCUCUCCACACUCGUGUCUCUGGGCGGUUUGUAAGAAAAUAUGUAGGAGAAUGGGGCUUGCAUAUUUUCAAUCACAUGGGGGACUGCUAUACAUUUAAUCAAAAUCCAUGUCAAGAUACACUUUUAAAAAUAUGCUCACAAAGUCUGCAUUUGUUAUUUUCAUCGUGUGGGCUCAGUAGGAUCAGUAGGCAUGAGAAAAGAGGAAGUGAAACCAACUGUAGUUAUAGUAUUUCCAGACACUAUUGGGAGAAGGAGAAGUUCAGAAUGGAUGCUGCAGACAGUUAGGCAAGUAAUGUGCUGAAUUAGGGUCUUUAAAAUUGCAUACCCUGCAAGUGUGCAGAUGGUACUUUGGACUGUUUUGAUGACAAUCAGAAAUAACUAAGGAAAAUGAGGACCUUAACCUUUAACUUAAAUCCUAAACUCUUUCUCAUUAGUAUCAAGUAGUAUAUUUACUGGAAAAGAAUAUUUUUAUUCUCUGAGGUAAUGGGUGCAAUUACCUAAAGUGAGCAUUUAAAAAAAAAUCCCUUUUCUCACCCAACCCAAAAUACAUCAAAACACAAACGUCAUCAAGACCUAAACAUAUUUUAGCAAACAUGACAACAGUCGACAACACCCAAAAUACAUUUUAACUGACUGACUGAAAAUCAUAUGGGUGGUAACUUACAAUUUGUAAAUCGCCUAUCACAAAGCAACAAGCAAAUUAAGACAUUACCCUGAGAAACUAACCUCUAUUUGAAGAAAAAGAUUAUAAAAUUCUGAACCGUGAUUAUAUAAAAAAGGCUGAACUGAUUAUAAAAAUCUGCAUUCUGUCAUUACAUUGGGUCAUCAGAUUCACAUCAGGUUUCCUGUCAGGUUUGACCACCCAAUACAAGUAUUGCAUUUCUGUAUUGCUUGUCUUUUGAUCAAAGACUAUUUGGACUGAUGAGAUCUCUAAUAAAUUCUUAAUAAAUUAAUAAAUUCUUUUAUUCUUUUUUUAGUGUGUACUUCGUUGUCUAAGCACUGGGGAAACAGCUGAUGUGACCCUGAGCCCCAUAGCUAAGCUCUGGCCAAGCAAGGCUAACAGGGAAUAUUAGGAAUACAUAAUUCCUACUCUGUGUGAUCUAAAUAUGUCUCUACAAUACACGCCACAAUUCUCUGCAGAGUGCAUGGCUUCUCUGACAACCAGGGUUCCUUGGAAGACAAGUUGGCAUGGAAAGAGUUCCUUUUAGGUAAUAGGUAUGGAAAACCGCACUGCACCGCACUGAUCAGUCCUUUCGAAGGCAAUCCAUCUGCUCCAGACAGAGAAAUCUGUGCCUGCAGCAAAUGUGGGUGUGUAUUUUGAUUCUCAUUUUGCUCCAUCUAACUUUAUGAUGUAGAUGGGGCUAUACACCCCAUCUAGGGCUACUAAAUGCAUAUAGCAAAUAAUGGCUAGAGCCAUUUGUUCUUCCCAAGAUUAAAUAGGUUUUGGAUUGAAGUCCUUCUCUCUCUCUCUCUCUCUCUUUUUUUUUUCUCAACUUUAUAUGUAGAACCAAAAUCUAUUGUGAUCCAAUAUCCCACUGAAUAUGUUCCUGUCUAUGUCCCCUUCCCCAGCAUUAAUUUUCACUUGAAUGUCCUAGACUCUUUGGGCUGCCAAUCAAGAACCAAUGCAGAAGGGCAUAGCAGAAUCUGAAGCACUUCUGCUUUGAAAUGCCGAGUUCAAAGCAUUUGCUGUAUCCAUGGAAAACUCUUCUUUAUUAAUGCUAAUUAAAUGGUUCAAUGCAUAAACCAAAUCUGGAAAGGCUACAGAGGGAGGUAAAGUGCAGCGAGAGUUUUUAAUGCUUGCUCCCAGGGGAAGAAGAACUGAAAAACCAUUUAUGGUGGUGUAAAAUCUUCCUGAAGCAAAUGCUGCUAUAAACUGUUUGGUGUUGUAUUUAGCCAGUUGAAUCAAUCUUCCAAAUGGUAGUCAACAGGGGCAGCUAAAGAAUACCUGCCUGGGGAGCUGUGUAAGGAAUUAUCUGAACAUAAAAACAUAAUAUAGAACCAGAAAAGGGCUGUAUAUGUCCCAAUCUGGCUAAGGAGAUCCAUGUUCAUAAUCCCUAGCUAGAUCAGGAGUCAAAGGCAUAAAUCAGAUGUGCAUCAAGAUGUAUGCUGGAAUAGACAUCCAUAUGCCCUAACCAAAAUGUUAUAUAUCAGUGUUGCCUUCCUCGCGAUGGGAUGUCCAUUCUAAUAAACAGUUCAAUGCAUACCCAUUUUCAGGUGCAGCUAGUCAAAUAUAAGUACCUUUUAAAAAUGUGGCUCAAACUCAGUCAUGAUUCUGGACUGUUCUUGUGCUAAGUCUUAUCAUGAAGCAGACCUCUUCAGCUGACAUUGUUGGUCAGUUCUCAGGUGCGACAUGGCAGCCCAUUCAACUCCCACCUUCAUUGCACCAUACUGCUCUUCCUCUUUUCUUCCAAAUAGGAAAGAGAGAUAAGAGGAAGAGUUUGGACAAGACAAGGAACUGGGGCUGAGAUGUUAAUAGAAAGGGGAAGGGAAUGAUGCUCUGCUUCAUUCUCCACCUCCAUUGCAUCUCCUCAGUGUAGACCGGCAGAGCUGUUUCGUGUAGCAAAGACAUUGCUGCACUCAUCCCCCCAAACAAUGGGGGAAGAAUCAUCUACAGCACGCUGUGAUCAGUUUGUGUGUCACUUUGCAGAUAAAGUCGCUAGCAUCCAUGCUGAUUUGAAUUCUAGAGUUUUGGCAGUUCCGGCAGAUGUGCCUCUGGUACCAUCUGGUCCCGUUGUGUUGGAUUCUUUUCAGUUGGUGCGGCGUGAGGAUGUGGACAAGAUCCUGGGCAGUGUGCAGACGACAUCAUGUGCUCUUGACCCUUGCCUUUCAUGGCUAAUAAAAGCUGCCAGGGAGGGUACAGGUGGGUGGUUGGAGGUGACUAUUAAUGCUUCAUUCAUGGAGGGCAGGAUGCCACCGUGCCUCAAGGAGGCGGUGGUAAGACCGUUAUUUAAAAAAGCCCUGCCUUGAUCCUUCCAACCUGGACAACUCUAACCUGCCCUUUUUGGGCAAGCUGAUAGGCAUGUGGUGGCAUCCCAACUGCAGAAGGUCUUGGCUUAUACGGAUUAUCUGGAUCCUUUUCAAUCUGACUUCCAACCCGGGUAUGGGACUGAGACUGCCUUGGUCGCUCUAGUGGAAGACCUACACCGGGAACUAGACAGGGGGAGUGCGUCCCUGUUGGUUCUGCUGGACCUCUCAGCAGUGUUCGAUACCAUCGACCAUGGUAUCCUUCUGGGCCGCCUUUCGAGUAUGGGAGUCGGAGGUACUGUGUUGCAGUGAUUCCGGUCCUUUCUUGCGGGGAGGGUCCAGAAGGUGGUGCUAGGGUCCGUGGCCACUGGCCUGUGGGGUCCCGCAGGGUUGGGUCUUGUCCCCCAUGCUGUUUAACAUCUACAUGAAACUGCUGGGAAAGGUCAUCCGGGGACUUGGACUGAGUUGUCAGCAAUAUGCGGAUGACACUCAGUUCUAUCUCUCCUUGUCACCUGACCCUAGGGAGGCGGUGGAUUGGAGGCCAUGAUAGGUUGGAUGUGGGCUAAUAAACUGAAAUUUAAUCUGGACAAGAUGGAGGUACUGUUGGUCAGUAGGAGAGCCAAUCGGGAAGAGGAGAUUUUACCAGUUCUGGAUGGGGUUGCACUCCCCUUGAAGGAGCAAGUACGCAGCUUGGGGGUACUACUGGACCCGGCUCUGCUUUUAGAAGUUCAGGGGGAGGCAGUGGCCGGGGGUACAUUUGCACAGCUUCAGCUAGUGCUCCAGCUGCGUCCCUUUCUUGAGAAGGCAGAUCUGGCCACGGUUACCCAUGCCUUAGACACGUCAUGGCUGGAUUACUGUAAUGCGCUCUACAUGGGGCUACCCUUGAAGAAUAUCUGGAAACUGCAGCUAGUGCAAAAUGCGGCAGCUAGGGUGUUAUCCAGAGCUGCCCGAUGGGAGCACAUCACACCCAUUCUGAAAGAGUUGCACUGGCUGCCAGUUCGUUUCCAGGUCCAAUUCAAGGUGCCGGUUUUGACCUUUAAAGCCCUUAACGGUUUGGGCCCGGGGUACCGGAGGGACCGCCUGUUCCCAAGGGUUGCUGCCUGCUUGAAGAGGUCAUCUGAGGGAGCUCUGCUCCGGGUGCCGACAAUGAGGGAUGCUCGGCUGUCAUGCACUCGGGACAGGGCCUUCUCUGUUGCUGCCCCUAGACUUUGGAAUGCUCUCCCAGUGGCCAUUCACUCCUCGGACUCCAUUACAGUUUUUAGAAAGCUUGUUAAAUCUUGGCUUUUUAUCCAGGCUUUUACAUGAUUGUUUUUAUUGCUGCUUCUAUGUGUUUUUACCCAUGUGUAGUUUUUAUGUUUAUAUUUUAUAGAUUUUAAAUUUGGUUUGUUUUUAUAUUUUUAGCUUAAUAUUUUUAUUGUCAUUUUAUUGGGUUUUGUUUUGUUUUUUUGCUUUUGUAAACCGCCUUGAGAUUGUUUUUAAUGAAAGGUGGUAUAUAAAUUCAACAAUAAAUAAAUAUAAAUAAAUGUGA